rnacentral:rRNA from 1 species
CAGUAGCCGCGGGAAUACGUAGGGCGCAAGCGUUGUCCGGAAUUAUUGGGCGUAAAGAGCUCGUAGGCGGUCUGUCGCGUCUGGUGUGAAAUCCCGAGGCUCAACCUCGGGCUUGCAUCGGGUACGGGCAGACUAGAGUGCGGUAGGGGAGACUGGAAUUCCUGGUGUAGCGGUGGAAUGCGCAGAUAUCAGGAGGAACACCGAUGGCGAAGGCAGGUCUCUGGGCCGCAACUGACGCUGAGGAGCGAAAGCAUGGGGAGCGAACAGGAUUAGAUACCCCGGUAGUCCCUGUCUCUUAUAA